rnacentral:rRNA from 1 species
GCGGGGGCAACCCUGGCGGCGAGCGGCGGACGGGUGAGGAAUGCGUCGGAAUCUGCCUCUUUGUGGGGGAUAACGUAGGGAAACUUACGCUAAUACCGCAUACGACCUACGGGUGAAAGUGGGGGACCUUCGGGCCUCACGCAGAGAGAUGAGCCGACGCCGGAUUAGCUAGUUGGCGGGGUAAAGGCCCACCAAGGCGACGAUCCGUAGCUGGUCUGAGAGGAUGAUCAGCCACACUGGAACUGAGACACGGUCCAGACUCCUACGGGAGGCAGCAGUGGGGAAUAUUGGACAAUGGGCGCAAGCCUGAUCCAGCCAUGCCGCGUGUGUGAAGAAGGCCUUCGGGUUGUAAAGCACUUUUGUCCGGAAAGAAAUCCUUCGAAUUAAUACUUCGGAGGGAUGACGGUACCGGAAGAAUAAGCACCGGCUAACUUCGUGCCAGCAGCCGCGGUAAUACGAAGGGUGCAAGCGUUACUCGGAAUUACUGGGCGUAAAGCGUGCGUAGGUGGUUCGUUAAGUCUGAUGUGAAAGCCCUGGGCUCAACCUGGGAAUGGCAUUGGAUACUGGCGACCUAGAGUGCGGUAGAGGGGUGUGGAAUUCCCGGUGUAGCAGUGAAAUGCGUAGAUAUCGGGAGGAACAUCUGUGGCGAAGGCGACACCCUGGACCAGCACUGACACUGAGG